GAUGAACGCUGGCGGCGUGCCUAAUACAUGCAAGUCGAGCGAACGGACGAGAAGCUUGCUUCUCUGAUGUUAGCGGCGGUCGGGUGAGUAACACGUGGAUAACCUACCUAUAAGACUGGGAUAACUUCGGGAAACCGUAGCUAAUACCGGAUAAUAUUUUGAACCGCAUGGUUCAAAAGUGAAAGACGGUCUUGCUGUCACUUAUCGAUGGAUCCGCGCUGCAUUAGCUAGUUGGUAAGGUAACGGCUUACCAAGGCAACGAUGCAUAGCCGACCUGAGAGGGUGAUCGGCCACACUGGAACUGAGACACGGUCCAGACUCCUACGGGAGGCAGCAGUAGGGAAUCUUCCGCAAUGGGCGAAAGCCUGACGGAGCAACGCCGCGUGAGUGAUGAAGGUCUUCGGAUCGUAAAACUCUGUUAUUAGGGAAGAACAUAUGUGUAAGUAACUGUGCACAUCUUGACGGUACCUAAUCAGAAAGCCACGGCUAACUACGUG
rnacentral:rRNA from 1 species